AGUAAAUAAAAACAAAUCGGUCGCGACGUCGCGAUUCGCCGCGAACCGCGAAUUUUAUUCGUUUUCGUCGAUUUUGAGAGGGUUUUCGUUCCGAAAACGCCCUCGGUCGUGUGUUUGAGUCCUUCCCCUGCAGAAGGAAGAGACUCCAACGUGAAAAUCCCCGCUGAAAGGGGGCAAAAGUGUUUUUUUUUAUUCUCCAAAUGGGAAUGAGGAAUCUUCCCGACGAUGGGAAUAGUGUAAGGUUUUUUUUAUGUUUCCCAGCCUACAAGCGGCUGGUUCACCGUGUUGGUAAGUGUCACGGUAAACAAAAAGUGGUGUUCGCUGCAACCGGAGCAGCUAUAUGGAAUUUUCGACGCUGGCAGUACAGGUGACCCGUACCCAAACAAAGGGAUUCGGCAUCAACCUAUGCCACGGGGAAAAACUGACUACGCUGGUUUAAUAAGAUUCGCCGGCCAGAAUCCGAGAUUCUUCCCAUUCGAAUCGACCAACUCAUAGGAAGAAACACCGCGCCGACGAAGAACUUUCGCGGAUCGUCGUCUGAAGCGCCUGAAGUUCGACUGAAGUCAUCUCCCGAAGCCAUUUCUUCACCAUGGACAAUAAAGAAAUGACCAAACUCCUUCGACACGAAGGUGGAAGCGUUGUCGCUCAGAAGAACUUCAGGACACCCGUGACGAUUAAACCACUGCUCCCGAAGAAUGGAACAAAGGGAGCUGCUUUGGAUUUUCCGGACAGGGGCCAACAUGACGUAUUUGCUAAACACGUCUAGCACAACAAGCAGGUGUUGGUUUCCCCGUUUACUUCUUGGGAGUGGGCCAAUAUAGUCCACCGAAAUUAUCCUCCAUGGUGAGUUUGAUGUUCGGGCCUGCCCUAGUUCAGGUUGGACCGGAACAAAAGGAGCUUUUAUCUCCUUGCAAGUCUCACACUGCUGCAAAUACCUUCUUAUUUGCGUUGCCAUGCUUGGCCAGAAAUAACGGAGUUUGAUUUCAUGAAGGGUUUUUUCAAACCCCACGUGGAGAAGAUUUUCGUGCGUCUUCGCAAUGAUAUCGGGGCGACACUCCGGAGCUGGGAUCAGCUUCCAACCGAAACGCGAGUCGCAAGCAGAGUUGCCAAUAAAAACUUAAUUUGAACUGGAAGAAUGCUGAGAAAAAAACUGGAAAAAACUGGAUUCCAAAUAAAUUUACAAAAUACUGAAAAAAUAAAUUGUGAGAGAGCUUCUUUAUGAUGGUUAUUGAAUACAAUAUAAGUUUUAAAUACAGCAACUUCGGGCUUACAUUUUGUUGAA